rnacentral:rRNA from 1 species
AGAGAUGUGUGAUGACGCAUAUCAAUAAGCGGAGGAAAAGAAACUAACAAGGAUUCCCCUAGUAACGGCGAGUGAAGCGGGAAGAGCUCAAAUUUGAAAUCUUAAAGGGUUUCCCUUUACGAAUUGUAGUUUAAAGAAGUGUUUUCUGUUGGAGUUUCGGUAAAAGUUCUUUGGAAUAGGACAUCAUAGAGGGUGAGAAUCCCGUAUUUGACCGUUACUUUCCAGCUGUGUGAUACACUUUCAAAGAGUCGGAUUGUUUGGGAAUGCAGUCCAAAAUGGGUGGUAAAUUUCAUCUAAAGCUAAAUAUUGGCGAGAGACCGAUAGCGAACAAGUACCGUGAGGGAAAGAUGAAAAGAACUUUGAAAAGAGAGUUAAACAGUACGUGAAAUUGUCAAAAGGGAAGCGUUUGACACCAGUGUUGUUUAGUUGAAAAUCAAUUCAAUAGUUUUUGAUUUUGAGUAGUAUUGACUUCAUCAGCUUGCUGCUCUCUUUUCAGGAAUUAUUGAAUGCACUUUUCAGUUAACAAGUCAACAUCAAUUUCUUUUGUUGUAAAAGGGUAAGAGGAAGGUGGCUUACGUUUCGGCGUAAGUGUUUAUAGCCUUUUACCUCUGCAAUCGGAGAGAUUGAGGACAGCAGCGUAGACUCCUUCUGGGGUUAGGAUACACUUGUGCUAAGCUAUAGCCUUGUAUAGACAACAUGUUGACUAUGCUCAGUCAUGUAGCUUACUCGCUUGUGCUAUUUUACCUACGCUUAGGAUGUUGAUCUGUAGUGCGUGCGC